GGGAACAUACCCUUUUCUACGGAAUAGCUCUGGGAAACUGGAAUUAAUACCGUAUACGCCCUACGGGGGAAAGAUUUAUCGGGGAAGGAUUGGCCCGCGUUGGAUUAGCUAGUUGGUGGGGUAAAGGCCUACCAAGGCGACGAUCCAUAGCUGGUCUGAGAGGAUGAUCAGCCACAUUGGGACUGAGACACGGCCCAAACUCCUACGGGAGGCAGCAGUGGGGAAUAUUGGACAAUGGGCGCAAGCCUGAUCCAGCCAUGCCGCGUGAGUGAUGAAGGCCUUAGGGUUGUAAAGCUCUUUCACCGAUGAAGAUAAUGACGGUAGUCGGAGAAGAAGCCCCGGCUAACUUCGUGCCAGCAGCCGCGGUAAUACGAAGGGGGCUAGCAUUGUUCGGAAUUACUGGGCGUAAAGCGCACGUAGGCGGAUAUUUAAGUCAGGGGUGAAAUCCCAGAGCUCAACUCUGGAACUGCCUUUGAUACUGGGUAUCUUGAGUAUGGAAGAGGUAAGUGGAAUUGCGAGU
rnacentral:rRNA from 1 species